rnacentral:rRNA from 1 species
AGUGAACGCUGGCGGUAGGCCUAACACAUGCAAGUCGAACGGCAGCACAGUAAGAGCUUGCUCUUACGGGUGGCGAGUGGCGGACGGGUGAGGCAUACAUCGGAAUCUACUUUUUCGUGGGUGAUAACGUAGGGAAACUUACGCUAAUACCGCAUACGACCUACGGGUGAAAGCAGUGGAUCUUCGGACCUUGCGCGAUUGAAUGAGCCGAUGUCGGAUUAGCUAGUUGGCGGGGUAAAGGCCCACCAAGGCGACGAUCCGUAGCUGGUCUGAGAGGAUGAUCAGCCACACUGGAACUGAGACACGGUCCAGACUCCUACGGGAGGCAGCAGUGGGGAAUAUUGGACAAUGGGCGCAAGCCUGAUCCAGCCAUACCGCGUGAGUGAAGAAGGCCUUCGGGUUGUAAAGCCCUGUUGUUGGGAAAGAAAAGCAGCAGGUUAAUACCCCGCUGUUCUGACGGUACCCAAAGAAUAAGCACCGGCUAACUUCGUG